rnacentral:rRNA from 1 species
GGGAACCUACGGGGGGCAGCAGUAGGGAAUUUUCGUCAAUGGGCGCAAGCCUGAACGAGCAAUGCCGCGUGAACGAGGAAGGUCUUCGGAUCGUAAAGUUCUGUUGAAGGGGAAAAAGAGCGGAGAGAGGAAAUGAACUCCGAUUGAUAUUACCCUUCGAGGAAGUCACGGCUAACUACGUGCCAGCAGCCGCGGUAAUACGUAGGUGGCGAGCGUUAUCCGGAAUGAUUGGGCGUAAAGGGAGCGUAGACGGCUGUGCAAGUCUGGAGUGAAAGGCGG